rnacentral:rRNA from 1 species
UACGUAGGGUGCAAGCGUUAAUCGGAAUUACUGGGCGUAAAGCGUGCGCAGGCGGAUGAUUAAGUUAGGAGUGAAAUCCCCGGGCUCAACCUGGGAACUGCUUUUAAGACUGGUCAUCUAGAGUUUGUCAGAGGGGGGUGGAAUUCCAAGUGUAGCAGUGAAAUGCGUAGAGAUUUGGAGGAACACCGAUGGCGAAGGCAGCCCCCUGGGAUAAAACUGACGCUCAGGCACGAAAGCGUGGGUAGCAAACAGG